UGGCCUAGUGGGUAGGGCACUGGACUAAGAAUCAGGAGACCUGGAUUCUAUUUCCAG
rnacentral:tRNA from 1 species